rnacentral:rRNA from 1 species
UGGGGAAUUUUGGACAAUGGGCGAAAGCCUGAUCCAGCAAUGCCGCGUGUGUGAAGAAGGCCUUCGGGUUGUAAAGCACUUUUGUCCGGAAAGAAAUCCUUGGCUCUAAUACAGUCGGGGGAUGACGGUACCGGAAGAAUAAGCACCGGCUAACUACGUGCCAGCAGCCGCGGUAAUACGUAGGGUGCAAGCGUUAAUCGGAAUUACUGGGCGUAAAGCGUGCGCAGGCGGUUUGCUAAGACCGAUGUGAAAUCCCCGGGCUCAACCUGGGAACUGCAUUGGUGACUGGCAGGCUAGAGUAUGGCAGAGGGGGGUAGAAUUCCACGUGUAGCAGUGAAAUGCGUAGAGAUGUGGAGGAAUACCGAUGGCGAAGGCAGCCCCCUGGGCCAAAUACUGACGCUCAUGCACGAAAAGCGUGGGGGAGCAAAACAGGAUUAGAUACCCUGGUAGUCCACGCCCUAAAACGAUGUCAACUAGUUGUUGGGGAUUCAUUUCCUUAGUAACGUAGCUAACGCGUGAAGUUGACCGCCUGGGGAGUACGGUCGCAAGAUUAAAACUCAAAUGAAUUGACGGGGUCAUAGCUGUUUCCU